CCUCCCCAGGGUGCCACGUGCAAAGGCAAAAUGGAUCUUUCCUUGCAGAGUCCUACCUCCUGGCAGUUUAAAUCUGCGCAAGUGAUGAAAUGGCUGUUUCAAAACAUGCUUUGGGAAUCUGAAUGAAUUUCAAACCGAGGAUCAGUCCAGCUCUGCUUCCAGUUUUCAUUCAACCCAGGUGAGGAAACAGAAGUCCUAAACCAGUGUCUUGCUGCAGCAAUCGGCAGGAUAUUCCAGGCUCCUCUUUUAAUGUCUUUUCAGCACUAAGCAAAUACCUUUUGAUUUCCCGAAGCCUUCUAAAUAACAUUUUAGAUUGUAAUGUUUUUCCCCUUCCUUGCUCUCUAUUGUCUUUGAUACGUUUCAGUCGUAUUUGGUGUUUUAAUGCUGUGUUUUAUUGUGCUGUGCUCUAUUUUUAAUUUGCUUUCUCCCCCUCCCCAAGUCUAUAAAUAAUGUAAACAAAGAAACAAACAAAAACAAUGCUUUGCGUGUAGAAAGGUCCCAUGCUCAAUCCUUGGUAUCUCUAGGUGGAAAGAUGAUAAUUUUAAUUGCCUGUAUAAUCCUGAUGGAAUAGAAGAGUUUUCAGCUAGUGUUUAAAAGUUGAAACAGAAGGCACCUGCUGAAUAUCUAGUGGCAGAGUGUUCCACAGGACUGGGCCAAUGACACUACAGGCUCGGUUCCUUGUUGAUGAACCUCGCCUACUUUGGGAAUGACCAGUGAUACUCCAGCAGAUGGUCUCAGUAUUCAAGAUGUGAUAUAAGAGUUCAGGUACCCUGAGGUACCCUGAGCCUAAGUUGUUCAGGGAUUUGUAAAUUAAUAUAAUCAACUAGAACCUGGCUCAGGCAGCCAGUGCAGAUGUCAGAUGUCGUCUGUCAAACAACCCCAUCAGCAGGGCUACUGGAUGGGGAUGAUAUGAACUGCCGUCCAAAAACAUCUAGAGGGCACUAUGUUGGCUAGCUCUGCUACCAGGAAUAUUCUUAAAAUAAAGAGGAAUCUCAGAGGCCCAUAAAUAUAGAUUGUAGAAACUUACUCUGAGAGGAAGUGUCAAUUCACACUAUUUCCGAAGGACAUAAAUACAAAGACCUGGCAAGAUGUGAAUUCCAGAAUAGAACAGAAGAAACACACACCCAUAAUACAAAUAUGACUACCAGAGUUGAAAUAACUAACAAGCAGAAAUAUAGUAAAGGGUCAAAUCCAGAACUUUGUGGAAAAAAUAUAUCCUGAACUGCAUUGCUUAUGGUUAAAUUCACACUUCUGGGAAGGUAGGGAAGGAAUAACUGAGAUGCUAUUGAAUUAUACUUUGAAAAACCUCGGCUACUCUUAUGCCAGAAUCCUACACGUAAAUAUUUUUCCCCCAAAACUUUGAAGACGAAAACUAAAUCAGAAAUUAAAGGGCCAAUAUAAGUAUUGGCAAUUCCCAGAAAUAAUAAAUCUAAAAAUCUGCAAUCCGUAGGGCUACACCGUCAGUGGUGAGAGAUUUAUUAGCAAGUAGCUUUAUGACAUUUUUCAGAUGAGUCACACAUUCUUAGUGAUAUAUUUCAAGAGUAACAGCAACCAGCUCCCUGAAAUGGCCGUGGGUUCCAUACCAUUUCAUUCAUAGCAAAAUAACGCAAGUUAGCUACCUAAAACAAUUUUUUAAAAAAUAAGCAUUCUAUAGUUAUUAUUUAUAACUUCAUCUGGAGCCUGUUAAAUAUAUCGGUGAAAGCAAACAUGGGGAACAUAUUGCUCAACAAGUGCUGCCUGAGGCAAAGGACAAGAUGGUAGCCUCUCUCCCAGGUACGGAAGCUGACUGCACUGUCAGUUAAGUCUUACUUCAACACUGGCCUUGGAAUAGCAUCCUCCGGUGCACCUGAUGACAAUCCAGUUUAGAGGGUGCAUGACAGGCCUGUGGCACGCACAACUUUGAUCUCCAACAGAGGCCUGAGGGCUCAGGAGUCACAGCUGCCGUUGCUGCUUCCCCAGCAUCUGUUACCUGAGGCACUCUGCCUAAUAGCAGGGCCGGCUAAGAUGCUGUCAAACCUGCUUUACAGGUUAGAUCUAUAUUUUCAGGUCCCACCAUACAUUUGAAGCACUGUUAUGUGGCUUAUGUGUUGUGGCUUAUCUCAAAUAAUCCUGGGCAUUGUAAUAACAAUAAUAAUAAUAAUAAUAAUAAUAAUAAUCCUUUAUUAUUUGUACUCUAUCCAUCUGACUGGGUUACCCCAGCCACUUUUGGCGACUUCAAACAUAUAUAGUUUGUAAUGAGUGCAAAGAGUUGUUGGAAGACCCUUUUCUCCUCACAGCUCUACAAUUCCCAGAGUUCCCUGGGAAGAGGCAUUGAUUGUUAAACCACUGUGAGAAUUGUAACUCAAUUGGAGUUCAAAUAAUAUUAGCUAAUACAUAAAAUAUUACGUAAAGAAGCUUACAAAUUUUACAUUUGGUCACUAUGUAAUUCGCCUAAUAUAUAUUUUUUUUGCAAAGCAGUUUCCUAUACCAUAGCACAUUCCAGUAUGUUAGCUACAUUAAUACUUGCAUUUUAAUGCAUUUACCGCAGUAAUUGCAUUUUUGUACAUAUUAAGUGGCUUCAGACCUGCAUUGCAAAAGUGCGAAUUUCAAAGAAUGGAAGGGUUACGGUUUGCGUAUUAUCUAAGUAGGUUCGCCUUUAGAUGCAAAGGGGAUUGAUUUUCUCCCUCCUCUGUAAUGGGACCGACCUCAUUCAAAGCGCCUGUACCCAAACUGGGGCAGGGACCAGUCUCUUUCUUUAGCUUAGAUUCCACUGCAAAGCAUCCUGUGCUUCAUUGGCGCUGUGUAAAUAAUAAUCACCAGCAAAUAAAUAUUGGGCCCAUGAGCCUUGACGGCUUGCCUUGACACGUCUCACUGUUUCAAACAUGCUGGAAUUUGGUCCUGUUAAGCUGUGGGCAGGGAGAGAGGGAAAUUUAUUUGAGACAGAGGAAGCUUCUUCUUUUUUCAAAGUUAAGUGAUGGACGUCCUUGAACGUAAUAGGAUAAAAAAAGAGACGGGGGGUGGAGGGAGAAAGAGAAAACAAGAGGGAGAGGGAUGUUGUUUCUGGACGCUUCAUACCAUAAUAGCUGACAGCUGAGCCGGCAAGGUGGCUCCUAAACUGUAGCAGACAAGUCAGACAGUUUUAACAGGAUCCCUGAGGAGCUCCUGAAGAAAGGAAAAGGUGAAUUUUUAAAUGUUGUCCCCCUCACCUCCCCCCCACUGGUUUUCUGCCAGAGAAGUUAUGUAGUUCUUGGCUCAGGGCCAGCAGAACCAAGGAAGGCAGAAGAGAGAGGGAGGAGAGACAGCGCAUGCAUAUUACAAAGGUCACGCCAAAGGCAACAUUUACAUUUAUACCUUUGUACCAUUUCUUGGACUUCUCGCUGAGUAAAUCCCACCGUCUGAAACAAAUUAAAUGGGGGUUGUUGUUUUUUGGUCCUCCCUCUCCUCCCAAAUAGGGAGGCUUGUUCACAACUGCCAAGAUGUGUGCAUGUGCAUGUAUGUAAUGUUUAUAAGGGCUGAUGUACACAUUAUAUGUACUUCAGUGACCCUUCCUCCUGAUAGGGUUUCCUAUUCCCAAAGAAAGUGACAAACUUGUAGCUGGAAUGAGGAUCUCUCUUGCUCAGCUAUUAUGGUAUGGAGUUCCCAGGUUCAGGGCCCACCUAGGUUCAGGAGAUGGGCUCAGGCGGCGGAAGCCCAAGAGACAGUGUCCCUGCGUGCGCCUUGCCCAGUCACCUCUGCCUCUGCUGGAGAAAGGGCACUGGAAUCAAGAUCUCGCCAAAAUCUCACGAGAUAUUGUGCGCUCCACGAUAUCUUGCCUGAAUCUGCCACUGCUUUGCUGUUAAGGGAAGUGUUACGUUGUGGGUGAACAUAUCAGACGACACAGCGAUUCUUCAAACAGCUCUUGUUUAUUCACAGGCCAGAACAGAACUGAACUGAAGGGUUCAGCCAGCCUGCUUAUAUAGAGCUCCACUAGAACGCAACAGUAACCAUUUUCUGUAACUAUCCAAUCACUGAACGUCACUUUCGAUCCCUUAUUUGCAUAUGUGGACCUGAGUGAAAACUAUCUACAGUAUAGUACAGUACCCCUGCUGGCCCAGGGUGAGAACUUUAGUACAUAACAGUAAGCUUCAUUGGGAGUGGAGGCAGGGCAGAAUAGCACCUUCCGGUUUCACCUCAGGUGCUGAAAUGAGAUGUGCCACCAUUCGAUCCCUGGCAUCUCCUUUUGUCUCAGUUUCUCCUACCCUCCUCUUUCCCUCUCUCUUUUCCCUUUUCCUUUCUGCCUCCUCUUCUCUCCCUCUCUCCUCUCCUCCUGUCUCUCCAUCUUCUCUUUCUUCCACACUCUCCCCCCCCCGCCCAGUGGUUUGCCAGAGGCAGGACAGAUCACUUGCACCAGAGGCCUCAAGUGAACUGCUGAUGUUUGAAGCCCCCCCUCUCUCCCUUCUUGUGCUUCUUUAUCUUUAAUCCAGACUUGACUCAGAGAGUCCUUCAAACAGAGGAUUGUCCUCUGGAAGCCCUUCAGCCAGAGGAUUGUCCUCUGUAAAAUAGGGCACAUGGCCAUCCUAGUCCCCACCCCUGCUGGAUUGGGGAGUGUUUCUCUUCACAUUCGAAUAACUAAGCUGAGACACAUAUAUCUCCUUGGUUCCUUAUGCACAGUUGCCAGCGCAAGUUAGGAAAAAAACCAAAAACCCUUCUCUCAUAAGAAAACAAUGAAGGAGUUGGGUGAAAGACAACCAUUUCACCACACUUUAAAUCACUCUGGUGGUGUGCCGAAAAAUGUGGGAGAAAUUUCAGGGACUUAUUUGCAUUCCGUGGUUUCGAAAACUGGCCUGUCAGAGCUGUGCUUCAACCCCCCACCUUUGGUAUAUCAGGGUGGAAAAUGAAGCUUUAGGGGUCAGUCAGCAUGGAGCUAGCAAGAAGACACUUUCAGAUACAGAACUAUCCCCCGGCAUCCCUUCACGUUCAGGCCUGUCCCUGGUAAUUUUGGCUUCAUUCACUGGACAGGUGAUUGAAGAUUCCUAUGAUGUUUCAAGGUCUCCUUUCAAGCAAGUGGGAGAUCAGCCUGGUUAACACACCCCACAUUUCUCAUGUGAAAAUGGGGACAUAUCUCACUCCCGGACAUCUGACUCACCUGAACCCCCCAUUUUUGUGUCCCCCCCCAACGUAUUUCCUAUCAUAAGCAGGGAGAGUGCCAUCACCCUUACACCAACAGGACCAAGCACACAUGAACUCCACUGUCCUGAGAAAACCCGUUAAUCCCCAUUUUAUUUUAUUCUUUGGUCGAUGUACAAAAAGAAGAACACGCACCAAUAAAUAAAUUUGAGAAAGGGGCAAGAUUAGAUGCAGAUGCACAAAGAUCAUUAUUAUUUAAACCAAGACUCCCUGAGCUCUGCUCCCUCUUUCUUCCCAUGGCCCUGCCUGCUCCUCAGACCUGACACAUCGGGUGGGCCAUGGCAGCGGCGGCCUCUCUUCCCCCUUGCCAGCUCUCCAGCAACCACUAUGAGCUGCCCAAGGAGGAAACCAGCAGGAGUGGCCAUGGAGAGGCAAUGGGAUGCUCCCUCGCCACCACCGUUUGGGACAAGUGACUGUCCUCCUCCCUAAGCUGGGAAAUAAGGGCAUUCCAGGAUCAAAUCAGAAGCCAGGGUGGCUUUUGUAAUUCUGGAACUGUCCCUGGAAAACUGGGACACUUGGAGGGUAUGAAUCAAUCAACAGCCGAGGGGGAUUUUGUCUUUCUUCCCUGCCUGGGGAGAACUGUGCUACAACCAUUGGUCACUUGUGCUCUCGAGCCCCAGUCUAGGGCUGCUGGGAAGUGAUGUCACCCAUAAACAGGCACAACCCAUUUCAUUAGGGUUUUUCUUUUUAUUUAAGGCAAACCCUCCUGGACAAGGCUAUUGUUGGCUGGACGCGGGUGGCGUUGUGGAUUAAACCACAGAGCCUAGGACUUGCCAAUCAGAAGGUUGGCUGUUCAAAUCCCUGCGACGGGGUGAGCUCCCAUUGCUCAGUCCCUGCUCCUGCCAACCUAGCAGUUCGAAAGCACAUCAAAGUGCAAGUAGAUAAAUAGGUACCGCUCCGGCGGGAAGGUAAGCGGCGUUUCCAUGUGCUGCUCUGGUUCACCAGAAGCGGCUUAGUCAUGCUGGCCACAUGACCUGGAAGCUGUACGCCGGCUCCCUCGGCCAAUAAAGUGAGAUGAGCGCCGCAACCCCAGAGUCAGCCAUGACAGAAUCUAAUGGUCAGGGGUCCCUUUACCUUUAACCAUUAUAGGCCAUGUUAUUCCUCCACUGCUGGAGGCAGCAUGCUUCUGAAAACCAGUUGGUGGAAACUGCAGGAGGGAAAAGAGCACUUGGAUCCUCCUAUCUGGUUGGCCCCCUGAUCCAGCAAAAGGCUCCUUUUAUGUUCCUGGUUAGUUGGCUUGUUAGUUAGAAUUAGGAAACGUAGCUAGGAUUAAGUGACCUUAUUUUUUUAAUAGCUACUUACAAGAACCAAUUAAGUGGACUUUUGAAGUAUAUAGGGAUGGUCAGCAGAGAACACACAGCAGAUCACAUUCAUCUCCAUGUGCGCCCACUAAUCUCAUCAGACUAGUCCUCAGGAGAUCAGUAGGAAGCAUGGCCAGCAGACCCAUAAGGCAAACUGAACUAUGUGUUUAUUGGACACGUUACAUAUUUCCAAAGUCAGGUUUUUUAAAAAUAAAGAACCAGCUCAUUAAAGCACAAAUGAACUCUUCCCAGUUGGGUUUCAUUUCAUCCUGGAUGCUGUUUACAUUUUCGUUUUAUCUUAUGAUAUUUGAACAGUGUGUUCAAUCAAAGUCUGCUCUUGAACUAGGUUGAAAAACCUCUAGCCUGCCUGCCAAAUUUCCUUCAUUUUCGCAGAAUGGGUGUUUAUUUCAGCGAAUAAUCUUCCUAUCCCCCCUUUUUUUCAGUCCUGGAAAAAAAUAUUAGCUGUUCAUCAUCACAGUUCACAUUAUCAUGGGUUAUGGACAGUAAGUACUCCAGAACUUUUAGAAAAGUAAGCUUUUGUUUUGUUUUGUUUUGUUUUGUUUUGUUUUGUUUUGUUUUGUUUUACAAAAGCAACUAAAACCACUCCAUAUGUACCAUAAAUAUUUAUUUGGUGAACUGUCUCAUUAACUUUGUGUUUCCAGUAAGGGAAGUACCCUCCAUAGCCAUUUGAAGCCAGAAAAAAAAAUGCUCAAGUUAACAAUUUUGCAGUUGCUUUGCAAAGAGACCUAUGUACUUUUAUCAGUUCAGGGCUCACUUUCCAUAGACUGUUAUUUUGAGAUCUCCUUAAAGCAAAGCUAGAAUUUUAUGAGGGAAAGGAUAUAGUUCAUUGGCAGAGCAGCUGCUUUGCUUGCAGAACGCCCCAGUUUCGAUCCCCAGCAUCUCCUGUUAAAAAGGAUCUGGUGAUAGGAAAAUGGUCUGCCUGAGACUCUGGAAAGCUCCCCAGGUCAGUAUACACAAUAUCCAAUAUAAACAAUAUUUAGCAGGGGGAAUGUGCUGUUUGGGGAGGCUCUUGAGGGGCUGGUAGGCCACAGGUUGAGGGGUGAGGCCUCAAAACCCCAACAAGGAACAGUCAGAUUGUAUUCAGUAGGGAAAUAGAGAGCAAUGUCACAUACUGUCCCUAAUAAACAAUGUGAACUGAGCAUUCCCACACCCUCCAGCAUUUCUCUGAUGAAAAUAGGAUUGUCCUAUUCAAUAAUAAUAAUAGUAAUAAUAAUAUAGUGGAACCUUGGUUUUCGAGCAUCUCAGAAGCCAAACGUUUUGGAAUCCAAAUGCCAAAAACCCGGAAAUAAUUGCUUCCACUUUUGAACGCGCCUCGGAAGUCGAACAUUUCCCCCAUUGAAAUUGCUGAAAGCCCUUUGCGCCUCAGUUGUCGAAUGUUUUGGAAGUUGAAUGGUCUUCUGGAAUGGAUUACGUUUGACAACCAAGGUUCCACUGUAAUAAUAAUAAUAUUUAAACCCAUCCAUCUGACUGGGUUGACUCAGACACUCUGGGUGGCUUCCAACAUAUAGAAAAACUUAACAAAACAUUAAAUGUGAAAAACUUCCCCAUGCAGGGCUGCCUUCAGAUGUCUUCUAAAGGUUGUAUAGUUACUUAUCUCCUUGGCUCAGGGGUCGCAUAGCUCAAUACCCUCCAAUAUUUCUCCGAUGAAAAUACAGUGGUACCUCAGGUUACAGACACUUCAGGUUACAGACGCUUCAGGUUACGGACUCCGCUAACGCAGAAAUAAUACCUCGGGUUAAGAACUUUGCUUCAGGAUGAGAACAGAAAUCGUGGCGUGGCGGCAGCGGGAGGCCCCAUUAGCUAAAGUGGUGUUUCAGGUUAAGAACAGUUUCAGGUUAAGAACAGACCUCCAGAACAAAUUAAGUUCUUAACCUGAGGUACCACUGUAGGGUUCUCUUAAGGAAAAACAGGACAUUCCAGGAUCAAAUCAGAAACUGUGAUGACUACUGUAAACAUGGUACUGUCCCUGGAAAAUAGGGACACUUGGAGAGUCUGUAUUCCAGUGGUGAUGGUGUGAAGGAAGAGAGUGGCUGGGGUCUUUUGAUACACUCAUGGAAGUUUGGCUAUGUUGCCUUAUCAGGAAAAUGGCCGCUACGCUAUAAGCAUCCAUGCUUGAGAUUUUUUCCGUCUUGCUAUGGUGCCACUUCAACAAUGACAAAAGGCUGCUUUUAUGUACAUAUUUCUUGAGGAGGAGGGAAAAAACAGUUUAAAUAUAAAAACCUAUUAACAUUCAUAAAUUGUUCGGGGCGGGGGGGUAAAAGGCUAAUCCUGUCCAAGAGGAUUUGUAUCCCCCUGGGUGGGUACAUAACUUUGACUCACUGGAUUCAUUAAUUCAUACUCAUGCAAGCGAUCCAGGAAUUCUUAACAAUAGCUCAGGACUCCAGAUGACAUAUUUGGAGUAGAAAUGUGUAUUUAUUUACAACCAAGCUGCAAUCCAGCCCUAUCCUAAAGAAAGCAAAAGAGCUUGAUUUGCCAUCAAUUACUGAGGCAGUUCCAAAGGCUGUUAAUUUGAGUAGCUAAGUAAACAGAACUUGACACGCAUUGUGCUGCUGUCUGAAUUACUUCAACCUCUUGCUUAUACACAAAUGGAUCACUGGAACUUGAGGAGCUGUACUGGGAGGGCAAUCUUGAUUUCAUUGACUUGGGGCUUGUACACACAAAUCAAACACACACACACAUUCAUGCUUUCCUGGUAAUAAGAUAUUUUCCAGAUCCCAUCCCUUGUUUUCUAGUCUUUCAGUUCCCUACAUUAGUGGAAACGUUAUAUUUCCCCAAUCCUUUUCUCCCUAUGUAGGAGGGGAAGGACCCUGUCAUAGCUGGAGGUCUGGAGAUGAAGCAGGAGGGCAGGGUGUAUCGCAAUGGUAGGACCAGGGUUUGUUAGCUCUAGGGCUAGAUCCCACUGAGCCUCUUGGGCUUGCUGAUCAGAAGGUCAGUGGUUCGAAUCCCCGCAACGGGGUGAGCUCCCAUUGCUCUGUCCCAGCUCCUGCCAACCUAGCAGUUCGAAAGCACGCCAGUGCAAGUAGAUAAAUAGGUACCGCUGUGGUGGGAAAGUGAACAGCAUUUCCAUGCACUCUGGUUUCAGUCAUGGUGUUCUGUCGCACCAGAAACAGUUUAGUCCUGCUGGCCACAUGACCUGGAAAGCUGUCUGUGGACAAACACCAGCUCCCUCGGCCUGAAAGUGAGAUGAGUGCCGCAACCCCAUAGUCGCCUUUGACUGCACCUAACCAUCCAGGGGUCCUUUACCUUUUAUCCUCACUAAGCCCCUUUUUUGAGUGGGUUCCCCUCCUCUUUGCAACUGUUGCCACGGGCCUAAUCCCCACUACGUGGCAAAAUAUAACCACCAUUCCCUGUUUUCCCUAAUCCACCAUCCAGUACAUGGUAAGUUUUCUUUGGACUGAGUCUUUGAAUGUUAACAUAUAUGCCUCACUGAUCCUCGUAUUCAUUUAUUGAUACUAUUUCUUACUUGCCCUUCAGCACGAGGGGCCCCUAUAGACAUCCCUUUUCAUUUUAUGAUUAUUCAUGAUGACUUGCACUCAUGAUGCUAUCAGGGUGGUCACACACAAUCCUGCUUUCACUACUGUUAAUGCCUGCAAAAGUUUUGGAGUUGGUCACAUUGCUUCAUUUUUAAGCAGCACAUAUCCCAUUAAUGCUGAAUCCUGCAUCUCUUUCUACCACAGAUGUCGUGGUUCAUUUCGUCUCACUUUCGUUGUGCUAUAGCCUCUCUAUAGACAGCAAUAUUGAAGUAGCAUUAGGGAAUCACUGCAGAACAAACAAAAACGGAAUAAACCCACCACUCUGUUUGAGAUAUUGCACCCCCCCCAAAUAAACUCUGUAUGUACACUGUACAUGCUCUGUCAAGGAUAUGUUGCAGUCUGGAAGGUCCUCGGGUGGGUUGCAACAACAAAAUAUACAAUUAUAAAAACAAAUAAAAUCAUUACAAUGAUAAAAUACACAAAACUGUUCCAAAUCCAGCAAAAGAGCUGAAAAGAGGGUGUUGUGGCUGACCAGUCGUACCCACCCACAACACAGGGUGUCGGUUUCCAGUUCUCACUCCAAUACGUGCCCUCUUUAAGGGAGGACCCUAUAUAUAGUAAUGUCUGACUUCACACCUGAAGAUUUAUAUGUUCAACCUUUCUGCAUUCCAGCCAGGUCAGACAUUUAUUAUAACUCUGUUUUGGUGCACGGGAGUUUUAGUCAUUGGGGGGGGGGGGGAGGACAUAUACAAGCAAGUACUUAAUCAGACAGUCCUUGCUGGCAAAAAAUAAAAUAAAAAAUACAGUGUAGAUACAGAGUUUGUUAUUUUGCUAAAACUGUAGAAUGGAGGGCCAAACUAGAUGUGAAAUGGGAGAUUCAUUAUUGGACCCCCGGACAUUUUUCGGGUGAAAUAUCUCAAAUAUCUAAAGGGCUGUCACCUGGCAGAUAGAGCAAGCUUGUUUUCUCCUGUUCUGGAGGGCAGGGCUCAAACCACCGGCUUCAAGCUACAAGAAAGAAGAUUCUGACUAAACAUCAGGAAGAACUUUCUGAUGGGAAGAGCCGUUUGACAGUGGAAUGGGCUCUCUUCCAAGGCUGUCGACCCUCCUUCCUUGGAGGUUUUUAAGCAGAGGAUGGGUGGCCCUCUGUUGUUGUUGUUGUUUGGAAGGGAUUUGAGACUAUCUAAAUGGUAGAUAUUUAAUUUUAGAUUUAAAAAAUAAUAAUGGGAAGAAUGCACUACAGCUUUGGCAGAAAGAAUAUUUCAGUUCUUAUUCAAACCAGUUUGGGGAAGCUGGUCACACAGAAGAGUGUGCUCCCUGGGUUCUCUCUCUCUCUCUCUCUCACGGUCCCCACCCCCAUCAUUUUGUCUUAGAAUUAUUUACCUUGAGGUUUGGUUUCUGAUAAAUUGGUUAGGAAAUUUGAAGGCUUGUUUUAUGAUGCUCCAAACGAACACACAUACACACGGAAGAGUGCCUGCCUUUACUUCUGUUAUCUCGGCAGUUAAUCCAGCUGUCAGGACAUUUUCCAAGUUAUGAAAAUGUUGCAAGCUGCAAGCCUUCAAGUACAGCUUGGAAGCACGGCGUGUACCUCCAGUUUUACGAUUGUGGGGAUAUUUUGGGGAGGAUCUUUCCUCCCACGUUUGCCAGCUGAGGCUGGAGGCUCCUUUCCCCUUUGGAGCAGAGGAGCCUGGCUCUUUGAGAUCCGCUGGAUGCUUGCCUAAGAAACAACUGCAGCGAUACGGUUGCAGGACUUGGAUUUAGGAAUCUCGCCCGCCCUUGGCCUCCUGCCUCUCCACUGUGCUAUUGUGCAUGUCUUGACGGAGGGCCACUUUGUGGUGAGAAUGUGAAGAAUGUGCAAAUAUGUAGCCUCCAAUACAACCAAGCAGCAAAAUUAAGCCAAGAGCAUGAGAUGCUGCAUUGAAAACUGAACCAGACUCAUCUGGUCCCUCUUAAGUCCAGUACUCCAGGCUCCCCCAACCUAGUACAGUGGUACCUCAGGUUAAGAACUUAAUUCGUUCUGGAGGUCCGUUCUUAACCUGAAACUGUUCUUAACCUGAAGCACCACUUUAGCUAAUGGGGCCUCCUGCUGCUGCCGCGCCGCUGGAGCAUGAUUUCUGUUCUCAUCCUGAAGCAAAGUUCGUAACCUGAGGCACUAUUUCUGGAUUAGCGGAGUCUGUCACCUGAAGCGUUUGUAACCCGAGGUACCACUGUACCUUCAAGCUGUUUCAGACAACAACUUUGGUCAGUGCCACUCACACAGAACGCCAUUCACUUUGCGUUUUCUGAACACAAAAUUUCUCCGCCUACUUGUGCCAGAAACAAUUUGAUGGAGAACGAAAGGGUAUGGAUGGGUGGUGGUGGAAGAGACCCUCCUCCUGUGUGACUGACUUUAGCAAAAACAGCAGGUGUCUUAUGCAGAUGAGCUCCUCCCAAGAGAGCCUGGUGCUGCCGUUUCACCCUUUGAAGCCUGUAUAGCUGUUUUUGGACCAGCUCACAUAGCUGAACCUCAUAACACUGGGUUACAAUUUAUUUCCCAGAAUUCCAUUUUGUUCUCAGAUCGCAGCUGGAAUGUCCCCAGUUACCAAUCAGAUUUUGACAACCUACUUUGAAGUACAUAUACGAAGUUCCCUUAAAUCAUGUCAGGCUUUUUACCUAUGUAUCUUUUCCAGCUGCAACAUCUCUCAAGCAAGGAUACUUUCUCCAGUCAGAUCUGCUACUUCAGCAAUGAGGAAGCAGUGUGCCCUCCAGUUAUUGCUGGACUGCACUGCCCAGCAUCCCUGACCUGUGACCAUGCUGGUUCAAACUGAAGAGAAUUAGAGUACUUUUUAAAAAAGGAAAGAAAUGAUCUAGAUUUGCUCGCUUUCCUUUCCACUCCCCAUUCCUUUCCCCUUUUUUAUUGUUGCUUAUUUGAUUGUGGACCUUUUAGGAACAUGGUAAGCGUCAUGCCCUUAGCUCAGUUGGUAGAGCAUGAGAUUCUUGAGAGGGUUGUGGGUUCAAGCCCCACAUUGGGCAAAAGAUUCCUGCAUUGCAGGGGGUUGGACUAGAUGACCCUCGUGGUCCCUUCCAACUCUAUGAUUAAUAUUAACAAUACACGGUUAUUGCAGUAAAAAUGCACUAGUCAAAACUUUUACCACUGCUUUUUAAGCCGGCUGAAGUCUUCAAAGGCAGCCCCACAUAGGACACAUUGUAGUAGUCCAAUUUAACAGCAAAUAAAUGCAUGUGUGACCUGUAAGUUCAUUGUAUGUUGCAUGAAUAAGUACUUCAUAGUGUUUGUCCAGAACCUAAUUGGGGACAGGGUGGGAGAGAGGGAGAAAGAAAGAAAGAAAGAAAGAAAGAAAGAAAGAGAAAGUGAUUGUUUCUUUCUAAAACUUAUGAUAGCUCAAAAUUUCUUACUUAGAGUGUUUUGAAAUAGUUAAUCUUUUUCCUCCAUUUUCUCAAACUUUCUUUUUCUUUUUUCACAACUGCUUCUUGUCACCUUUGAAUGGUUGGCGACACCCCAUAAUUUACCUCCAGGAAUGCAGACAUGAAGGAAGACGAUGGGAUGAAAUAUGGUGUCAAGUUUGUAUCUGCUCACAUUUCACACACUAAAGAGACAAGCCCCUUUGGCUAGUUGCCAUGGAGAAUUCUCUUUUGGAAGCAAAUAACUCAGAACACAGAGAGAGAGCAAGAGAGAGAGAGCCCCCAAACAAACUCAGAUUCAUGCUGCCCCAGCUGCAGAAUAUCAUUAGCUCUCAAAGGAUAUAGUAUGCCAUGUUGCGUGAAAAGAAUUUUAUUAUGGGGUAUGACCACCUCUGGAAAAUUAGCUGAGCAAAACUUUUAUGUUCAACUUUGAACAUUGUUUCCUGUGUGCAAUUUGAGGAAUGUGCAUCUAAAUAUUAUUUGAGUGGCCAGCAGCACUCCAGAUAAGUAGCUGAUUCACCAAUGGAUCCCUGUAGUUACCUGGCUGCCAGUUGGUUUCUGGGCCGAAUAUAAGGUGCUCACACCUCCAAACCAUCCUAAAUAUCUUCACAGAAGCUUGCAGAGAAAGGGGACAGAGACAUUUCUCUCUCUCUUCCAUGACAGUAGAACUUGGGUCAUCCAAUGAAGCUGAAUGUUUGAAGAUUCAAGAGUGACAAAGGGAAGUGCUUCACACAAUGCUCCCACAAGAAGUAGUGAGGGCUACCAACUUGGACAAUCUGAAAAGGGAUUUAGGCAAAUCCAUGGACGAUAAGACUUUUAAUGGCUAGACAAUGGUGGACUCCAGUUCCCAUCAGACCCAGCUAGUAUGGCCAAUUGUCAAGGAUGACUGACAUUGUAGUCAACACCACUCAGGUUCCUCAUACCUGAUGUUGAGCAGUGUAAGUCUCCCUUGCUGUCAGGGUCUAUUAUUUUGUUUUCUUACACAGAGAACACUUAAGCUCAAACAGAAUGAAAUAAAAUGAGAUUUAAUGGGAUGUUGCUGGGUUGAGGCAUGCAUUAACCCCCCUCCCUGUUAUGAACACUUGCUUAUAAUGUUGUCACCAGUCAGGCCUACUCAAGCAGUCCAAACUUGUACAAAUAAACAAGUGCCUUUUUAUUUUUUACAAAUGCAUCUGUCCCAAAUCUGACUCAAUGGCACAUGCAGGCUUCCAAUUCAUUUCUCCCCCUUAUAGUUCUUUAUGGCUGACUGAACUUCAGAUUUUUCAUAUAUAGACCACAGAUUUCAGCAUGAUUAAAAGGGGCAUUAAAUCAAAACACUGAGCCCAGCAUUUCUGAGUCCUGAAGUUAUUCUGUAUGCGCAAUUAAACAUUAUAGCCAAGUGAGA
rnacentral:lncRNA from 1 species